UUUUAUGAGAGUUUGAUCCUGGCUCAGGACGAACGCUGGCGGCGUGCCUAAUACAUGCAAGUCGAACGCUUUUUCUUUCACCGGAGCUUGCUCCACCGAAAGAAAAGGAGUGGCGAACGGGUGAGUAACACGUGGGUAACCUGCCCAUCAGAAGGGGAUAACACUUGGAAACAGGUGCUAAUACCGUAUAACAAUCGAAACCGCAUGGUUUCGGUUUGAAAGGCGCUUUUGCGUCACUGAUGGAUGGACCCGCGGUGCAUUAGCUAGUUGGUGAGGUAACGGCUCACCAAGGCAACGAUGCAUAGCCGACCUGAGAGGGUGAUCGGCCACAUUGGGACUGAGACACGGCCCAAACUCCUACGGGAGGCAGCAGUAGGGAAUCUUCGGCAAUGGACGAUCUAACCAGAAAGCCACGGCUAACUACGUGCCAGCAGCCGCGGUAAUACGUAGGUGGCAAGCGUUGUCCGGAUUUAUUGGGCGUAAAGCGAGCGCAGGCGGUUUCUUAAGUCUGAUGUGAAAGCCCCCGGCUCAACCGGGGAGGGUCAUUGGAAACUGGGAAACUUGAGUGCAGAAGAGGAGAGUGGAAUUCCAUGUGUAGCGGUGAAAUGCGUAGAUAUAUGGAGGAACACCAGUGGCGAAGGCGGCUCUCUGGUCUGUAACUGACGCUGAGGCUCGAAAGCGUGGGGAGCAAACAGGAUUAGAUACCCUGGUAGUCCACGCCGUAAACGAUGAGUGCUAAGUGUUGGAGGGUUUCCGCCCUUCAGUGCUGCAGCUAACGCAUUAAGCACUCCGCCUGGGGAGUACGACCGCAAGGUUGAAACUCAAAGGAAUUGACGGGGGCCCGCACAAGCGGUGGAGCAUGUGGUUUAAUUCGAAGCAACGCGAAGAACCUUACCAGGUCUUGACAUCCUUUGACCACUCUAGAGAUAGAGCUUCCCCUUCGGGGGCAAAGUGACAGGUGGUGCAUGGUUGUCGUCAGCUCGUGUCGUGAGAUGUUGGGUUAAGUCCCGCAACGAGCGCAACCCUUAUUGUUAGUUGCCAUCAUUUAGUUGGGCACUCUAGCGAGACUGCCGGUGACAAACCGGAGGAAGGUGGGGAUGACGUCAAAUCAUCAUGCCCCUUAUGACCUGGGCUACACACGUGCUACAAUGGGAAGUACAACGAGUCGCGAAGUCGCGAGGCUAAGCUAAUCUCUUAAAGCUUCUCUCAGUUCGGAUUGUAGGCUGCAACUCGCCUACAUGAAGCCGGAAUCGCUAGUAAUCGCGGAUCAGCACGCCGCGGUGAAUACGUUCCCGGGCCUUGUACACACCGCCCGUCACACCACGAGAGUUUGUAACACCCGAAGUCGGUGAGGUAACCUUUUGGAGCCAGCCGCCUAAGGUGGGAUAGAUGAUUGGGGUGAAGUCGUAACAAGGUAGCCGUAUCGGAAGGUGCGGCUGGAUCACCUCCUUU
rnacentral:rRNA from 1 species